AAUGCACCAAUUUGUAAGUCGCUCUGGAUAAGAGUCUGCUAAAUGACUUAAA
rfam:Salmo salar isolate Sally breed double haploid chromosome ssa24, whole genome shotgun sequence.